GUGGAUUAGAUACCCUGGUAGUCCAUGCCGUAAACGAUGUCUACUAGCCGUUGGGGCCUUUGAGGCUUUAGUGGCGCAGCUAACGCGAUAAGUAGACCGCCUGGGGAGUACGGUCGCAAGACUAAAACUCAAAUGAAUUGACGGGGGCCCGCACAAGCGGUGGAGCAUGUGGUUUAAUUCGAUGCAACGCGAAGAACCUUACCUGGUCUUGACAUACAGAGAACUUUCCAGAGAUGGAUUGGUGCCUUCGGGAACUCUGAUACAGGUGCUGCACGGCCGUCGCCAACU
rnacentral:rRNA from 1 species